CGGCCGGGCACCCCCACUCGCGAAGAAAUGAAAAAAAAGAUAGAUUUGCCCUCGCCGCCGUGGUAACCUAGGGUGUGGGGGACAAAAAGGGGAGAGUGUCGCGGAGGUCGGCCUACAGGACUGCGGCGGCGCCGGUGUUUCCACGUCGGGCUAGCGACGGAUGGACGCCGAGGGUAUGGAGUUCCUGCUUGACGCGGUGGACAGAUUCCCCGUACUGGAGGGAUUUGCUGACAGGCUUGACCACCCAGAUCCAGUUCCACUCCAUUAUCUGCUGGAGAAGGGGAGUGCAACUCAGGAUGUUGGGGAACUGAAUGGUGUUUCUGGGCUGGCUCAAACGGAGGACGAAGGAGCAGCUGCAGACCGACAAGAAGGUGACCAGCGUUUUCGUGAUGAAUAUCCGACGAGGUCCGCUCAAUAGACUGACAGGGUUAAUCCACAAGCCCCCGGAUGGACAAAAAGGCUCCGGCUCGGAAGUGCGCCACCGGACCGAGUGCCAUGCCCAUCGAGGAUGAGCGCUCUCGAGGUUUCAAUCCGCAAAUAUGCAGAGCAGCCUGACAAGAGUGUCGUUAGACCUGAGCUAGGACUCAGUUUUGAUUCGUCGGGCGAGGCAUAUGAUUUCUAUAAUCUAUAUUCUUGAGAAGUAGGUUUUGGCAUAAGAUAUGGAAAAAGCAGACUCAACGCCGAGAGGACAAAAAGCAUGCAGGAAAUAGUUUGUGGUUGCUCGGUGAGUACACUUUUAAUGCAACAAAAUAAAAAUUAAAAACAUAAAUGUGGAAACAAUAGUAAUGACUACGAUCAAGAUUUCUUUUGGAACUAGAGCUGGGCUACUUUUGACAUGUUUGCUGGAUGUUCUAAGGGGAAACCGGAAACCGAAAACAGUCGGUCCUGCAGAUGUGAGUGCCCAGCUCUGAUUAGGCUUCUGCGUGCAUCCGACAACAGCUGGUACAUAACAGAGCAUCGAGCGAGUCACAAAACCAUUCCAUGUCGCUAACAAUGGGAGAGAAAGUGCACUGGCCUUCUCAUAAACAGAUAGAUGUAUACACCAAGGAUUUGAUAAAGCAACUGAGGGAAAACAAUGUUAACCUUGGGAAGGUAUACAGUAUAAUUGGGAGCUUCUUUGGUUCGGUCGAGAAGGUCACUUUCACGAAGGGGACGCUCAAGAAUAUUUGUGGGAAGAUUAGCCGUGAACAGGCUGAAGACGAUGUCCGGAAGACACUUCAGGCGUUUGCUGACAUCCAGGCCAACGCCAUUGCCAAACUGAUUUCGAAAUUUUUUGAACCGAUCGCUGGCAUCCGAUGGGAGGUUCUCUCGCUGAAUCGGCAAGUAGUGGCACAACCAGAGGGGCGGGGCAUGAUGCGUUCGUGGGAUUGAAUCUUCCUCCUUCACCUCCCUCCCGCAUGGACUCCGCAUCUAGCGCCUGGAGCACAACGCAUCUGCCAGCGGAUGUCGACGACACUAAUGGAGAGGGCGAGGUCGUCCAGCAAGAUGAGUCUGUCCACCGGCCUCUCACCCAUGAUUUGGGCAGCAUGGUGGGGCAAGAUUCACGGGAAGAAGGAUUUGGUGAUUACGAUCCAGCUGCUGCUCCGGAUUCGCCGCGUAGCACUGGUAGUUCUGCCAUCGACGACCAAUCUGGUGUCAUGUGUGGUGGCAACGUGGAAGACUCUGAAGAUGAGGAGGACAUUAUCAGCAUGCUGCCUAAACACCGCUGUAUAAUAGACUAGA